UACGGAGGAUCCAAGCGUUAUCCGGAUUUAUUGGGUUUAAAGGGUGCGUAGGCGGCCUAUUAAGUCAGGGGUGAAAGACGGUAGCUUAACUAUCGCAGUGCCUUUGAUACUGAUGGGCUUGAAUGUACUUGAGGUAGGCGGAGUGUGACAAGUAGCGGUGAAAUGCAUAGAUAUGUCACAGAACACCAAUUGCGAAGGCAGCUUACUAAAGUAUGAUUGACGCUGAGGCACGAAAGCGUGGGGAUCAAGCAGG
rnacentral:rRNA from 1 species